rnacentral:lncRNA from 1 species
CUUAGUAACGUGUGAGCUAACUGCCGUGAAACUCACAAUGGCUCCUCGGUGUUCAGAAGGGUCACACUCGCUGUCACUCCCCCUCGAGGUGAUGCCUUGGCAUCGGGGCAGACGUGCUGCGCUCUGCUUUGCACUCAGUCUCCAUAGGUUUACCUUCUGUGUGAAUGUUUAGAAUUCUCUCUAUGAAAAAUGAUGGCUGGUUUAAAAUAGACCAUGGUAACAAAGUAACUUUAUUGCUUUUUAUAAAAUUGCUAUUUUUCUAUGAUGUAUAAACAGUUCUUAGGUGGCAGAUUUUUAAGGAAGUGCUAUUUUAUUUAAGAGUCUAUCCCUGUGUGUGUGAGGGACCCAAGAGGGCCCACCCUGGCUCUAAAGCCUUUAUCCCGGCUCCAACUUCAGCUCUGCUCCUUUUCACAGUGUCAUCGAAAACCAAUCACAUGUUCAUUAAUUCUCAUAAAGAUGUUUGCACAGGCAGAGCUGCAAGAUUACAUUAGAAGAUACCAUUCUCAAAAUCAGCCCACAACUUCAUGGUCACCUUGCAGCCGUGCCCACUAGACUUGCCAAACCCCAUCCUUUCAUCUUUGUAUUCCUGUGGGGAAUUUGCCCUAAGAAGAGACUGUUCUCCUGCCUACCUACCGCCUUGCUCCUUUAAAGAAACAUAUAUUUUUGUCUAGAAUGACCUGAUUAAUUAAUCUUGCAUAUUCUGAAAAGUGCUUGGGAACCGUACACAGGUGGCAUACUGUGUGAGCAUACACCAUGACAGACGUAUAAAGAGGCCUAUGGUUCCACUCUUGCAUUUGCCUGCAUAGUUCGUGAAUUUUGUGCCAUUUCACCCUUCUGCCUGAGGAAGGUAUUCUUGUUAGCUGACAUUUUCCAAAGCCUUUGUCCCCUUUCUUCCCCUCUUACCUAUCUCCCUGUCCUCCCCACCACCACCCCAUCCUUGCCUCUCUAUCUCUAUUAGUUUUUUGGGACAUUUAGUUAACCUGUUUUCGGGCAUGCCAAGUUUCUGCAGUGUGAGCCCAUGGCUGGUCAGUCCUCUGGUCCUAAGCUCAAACAGGACUUUGACAGUCUCUUAUGUACACCAUAUCAUUUUAUUACCUAAGAACCUCACAUGCACUGACUGGACAACACAAAGCAGAGUCCAAGUAGCCUCGGCACACCUUCCCAGAUGCACACAUCUGCAGUCUUCCUGACACACCAUCCGAGACGCACACAUCUGCAGUCUUGGUUUGCACCUAUUUCUCAUGGUCGCCCUUGUCCAGAGCUUGGCUCUCAUGGGAAGGGGUGUGGCCUGUAGAUCUCCCUGGGGCAGCGGGUAAGCAGGCUGGUGGUCUGCAAUGGUGGUUGAAUCAUCUGCUAGGGGCAAGUGAAGGCUAAGUUAUACUGGACUCUGUGGGGCUGCACUUCCCUCCUUAAAAGAAAAAAGUGAAAGCAGCCGUUUGCAUGUGUACACAUGUGUACACAUGUGAAGACCUCAGUGCAUACCUGUGUACCCGUGUACAUGCUGUAAUGACCUCUGUCAAGUAACCUGAUACCAUCUAAAGACUGUGAGAGAGAGAAGGAUCCUGAAGGAAAACUGUCGUGCCUUACGUAUCUCAGUCUGAAACAAGCUGUGUUUCCGUAUUGUCUUGUUUGAAAUUGCUUUAUACUUUCCUGCAGCUGGUCAGUCACGUAAUGAACAUUAUAAUUUAACCCUAGUUUUUCCCAUAUUCAAGCCCAUGAGCAAAUGUUUGGGAAAGAAGUGGUAAUGUUAAACUUAGAAACUUGAAAUUUUGACCUGUAACUUUUUAUACUUCUAGGUAAUGUAUAUCCGACCAAAAACCAUUUUGCCAAGGUCUUAAGGUCAAUACUAACCAACAUUCUGUAUGUAAAUUUCGUGUGUGCCCUAACCACCAUUCCAUAUGUUAAUUUCAUGUGUGCCCGUGGCUUUUUGGUAGAAAAAGAUUUCCACAUUCUGUAUUUGUAAUUAUUUUUCUCAUUACAUAUGUUGGUUUGGUAUUCAAUAAUUUGGAGUUUGUAAAAUUUAAAGUUCUAAUUUCAACCAUUUGAACUAAAAAGUACAGGAGGAAUUAUGCCUGUGGUUGUUUUGGAACAUACAGACAUGAUGGGGAAGUGGUUUCUUUGGCUUCUUUAGGGGAAAUUGCCUGAAGGACUGUAAACGAGGUAUCUUACUUAUUCUUACAAAUACUUACAGUUGUGUUUCUGUAAGCCCCAGGAACCCUCUAAAGAUGCAACCAGCCCCUACAAGGGACCACCAGAAGUAUUUCCAUAAUUAUAAACACUUAUUUCCUUUAUUAAUAAAGACCCUGAAUGUGCAUCACC